rnacentral:rRNA from 1 species
GACGAACGCUGGCGGCGUGGAUUAGGCAUGCAAGUCGGACGGUAGGGCUUUAUCGUAAGAUAGAGUUUGAGAGUGGCGAACGGGUGAGUAACACGUAGGAAUCUACCCUUAAGACGGGGACAACCCAGGGAAACUUGGGCUAAUACCGGAUGAGAGUGCGAGAGAUUGCAUUUAAAAGGAUGGCGAAAGUUGUCGCUUAGGGAUGAGCCUGCGGUCUAUUAGUUAGUUGGUGAGGUAAGAGCUCACCAAGGCGAAGAUGGUUAGGGGUUUUGAGAGAGAGAUCCCCCACAUUGGAACUGAGAUACGGUCCAGACUCCUACGGGAGGCAGCAGUAGGGAAUAUUGGGCAAUGGGCGGAAGCCUGACCCAGCCAUGCCGCGUGAAGGAAGACGGCCUUAUGGGUUGUAAACUUCUUUACUAUGCGACUAACUAGAUUUACGAGAUAAUUCUAUAGAAUGUAGCAUAGCAAAAAGCACCGGCUAACUCCGUGCCAGCAGCCGCGGUAAAGAGUAGUA